rnacentral:rRNA from 1 species
CUCAGUAACGGCGAGUGAAGCGGCAAAAGCUCAAAUUUGAAAUCUAGCACCUUCGGUGUUCGAGUUGUAAUUUGAAGAUGGUAACCUUGGGUUUGGCUCUUGUCUAUGUUCCUUGGAACAGGACGUCAUAGAGGGUGAGAAUCCCGUCUGAUGAGAUGCCCAUUCCUAUGUAAGGUGCUAUCGAAGAGUCGAGUUGUUUGGGAAUGCAGCUCUAAGUGGGUGGUAAAUUCCAUCUAAAGCUAAAUAUUGGCGAGAGACCGAUAGCGAACAAGUACAGUGAUGGAAAGAUGAAAAGAACUUUGAAAAGAGAGUGAAAAAGUACGUGAAAUUGUUGAAAGGGAAGGGCAUUAGAUCAGACUUGGUGUUUUACGAUUAUCUUCUCUUCUUGAGUUGUGCACUCGUAUUUCACUGGGCCAGCAUCGAUUCGGAUGGUAAGAUAAUGACAGUUGAACGUGGCUCCAUUCGUGGAGUGUUAUAGCUUCUGUUGAUAUUGCCUGUCUGGAUCGAGGGCUGCGUCUUUUGACUAGGAUGCUGGCGUAAUGAUCUAAUGCCGCCCGUCUUGAAACACGGACC